rnacentral:lncRNA from 1 species
AGUUCCCUUCUUCAGUCUUCUCUUAAGCUGAAAGUCCAACGAUUUCAAGAUUCAAUUAAUUAGAGACAUGGAGAGCCAAAGUACAAGAUACCUGUACGGAGAACUUGGGAGGCAUUUUUAUAAGCUCAUUGUCAAGUGAAUGUUAAAGUCCCCAUUCACUGAGAAGCAAAGGGUGAAGAAGUGAGACCCUACAUGGCUUUUUAGUGCAUUGAUGGAGCAGAGACACGUCUAUGAACAACUGCCUAUGCAAACUGAUUACUCGGCAGUAUAAUUUAUCAGUUUGUAUGAGUAAGUGAGUGCUUCUCACUAUGG